UACGAAGGGGGCUAGCGUUGCUCGGAAUCACUGGGCGUAAAGGGUGCGUAGGCGGGUCUUUAAGUCAGGGGUGAAAUCCUGGAGCUCAACUCCAGAACUGCCUUUGAUACUGAGGAUCUUGAGUUCGGGAGAGGUGAGUGGAACUGGCGAGUGUAGAGGUGAAAUUCGUAGAUAUUCGCAAGAACACCAGUGGCGAAGGCGGCUAACUGGUCCGGUUCUGACGCUGAGGCGCGAAAGCGUGGGGAGCAAACA
rnacentral:rRNA from 1 species